rnacentral:rRNA from 1 species
GAUGAACGCUGGCGGCGUGCCUAAUACAUGCAAGUCGAGCGAACGGACGAGAAGCUUGCUUCUCUGAUGUUAGCGGCGGACGGGUGAGUAACACGUGGAUAACCUACCUAUAAGACUGGGAUAACUUCGGGAAACCGGAGCUAAUACCGGAUGAUAUUUUGAACCGCAUGGUUCAAAAGUGAAAGACGGUCUUGCUGUCACUUAUAGAUGGAUCCGCGCUGCAUUAGCUAGUUGGUAAGGUAACGGCUUACCAAGGCAACGAUGCAUAGCCGACCUGAGAGGGUGAUCGGCCACACUGGAACUGAGACACGGUCCAGACUCCUACGGGAGGCAGCAGUAGGGAAUCUUCCACAAUGGGCGAAAGCCUGACGGAGCAACGCCGCGUGAGUGAUGAAGGUCUUCGGAUCGUAAAACUCUGUUAUUAGGGAAGAACAUAUGUGUAAGUAACUGUGCACUUCUUGACGGUACCUAAUCAGAAAGCCACGGAUAACUACGUG